rnacentral:rRNA from 1 species
CACAGAGGUGGCAAGCGUUGUUCGGAAUUACUGGGCGUAAAGGGCGCGUAGGCGGUCCUUCAAGUCAGGCGUGAAAGCCCCGGGCUCAACCUGGGAACCGCGCUUGAGACUGGCGGACUCGAGUUCGGGAGAGGAUGGUGGAAUUCCCAGUGUAGAGGUGAAAUUCGUAGAUAUUGGGAAGAACACCGAUGGCGAAGGCAGCCAUCUGGACCGACACUGACGCUGAGGCGCGAAAGCGUGGGGAGCAAACCGG